rnacentral:rRNA from 1 species
AUUGAACGCUGGCGGAAUGCUUUACACAUGCAAGUCGAACGGCAGCACGGACUUCGGUCUGGUGGCGAGUGGCGAACGGGUGAGUAACAUAUCGGAACGUAUCCAACAAUGGGGGAUAACGAGUCGAAAGAUUCGCUAAUACCGCAUACGCCCUACGGGGGAAAGCUGGGGACCUUCGGGCCUGGCGUUAAUGGAGCGGCCGAUAUCUGAUUAGCUAGUUGGGAAGGUAAAGGCUCACCAAGGCGACGAUCAGUAGCUGGUCUGAGAGGAAGACCAGCCACACUGGAGCUGAGACACGGUCCAGACGCCUACGGGAGGCAGCGGUGGGGAAUUUUGGACAAUGGGCGCAAGCCUGAUCCAGCCAUUCCGCGUGAGUGAAGAAGGCCUUCGGGUUGUAAAGCUCUUUCGCAAGGGAAGAAAACUUAGCCACUAACAUUGGUUGAGGUUGACGGUACCUUGAUAAGAAGCACCGGCUAACUACGUGCCAGCCGCCGCCGUAA